rnacentral:rRNA from 1 species
GACAGAGGGGGCAAGCGUUGCUCGGAAUCACUGGGCGUAAAGGGCGCGUAGGCGGGAUGGCAAGUCGGUCGUGAAAGCCUUCGGCUCAACCGAAGAACGUCGGCCGAUACUGCCGUUCUUGAGGGAUGCAGAGGAGACUGGAAUUCCCGGUGUAGCGGUGAAAUGUGUAGAUAUCCGGAGGAACACCAGUGGCGAAAGCGGCCACCUGGACUGCACCUGACGCUGGACACGGCGAAAAGCUAGGGGAGCGAACGGG